AGAGUUUGAUCAUGGCUCAGGACGAACGCUGGCGGCGUGCUUAACACAUGCAAGUCGAGCGAGUGAAUUACAGCUUGCUGUAAUUCGCUAGCGGCGGACGGGUGAGUAACGCGUGGGAAACCUGCCCUAUACAGGGGGAUAGCCUCGGGAAACCGGGAUUAAUACCCCAUAACACAUUUUCAUCGCAUGGUGGAGAUGUCAAAGCUCCGGCGGUAUAGGAUGGUCCCGCGUCCCAUUAGCUAGUUGGUGAGGUAACAGCUUACCAAGGCGACGAUGGGUAGCCGGCCUGAGAGGGUGAACGGCCACACUGGAACUGAGACACGGUCCAGACUCCUACGGGAGGCAGCAGUGGGGAAUAUUGCACAAUGGGCGAAAGCCUGAUGCAGCGACGCCGCGUGAGCGAAGAAGGCCUUCGGGUCGUAAAGCUCUGUCCUAAGGGAAGAAGAAUGACGGUACCUUAGGAGGAAGCACCGGCUAACUACGUGCCAGCAGCCGCGGUAAUACGUAGGGUGCGAGCGUUGUCCGGAAUUAUUGGGCGUAAAGGGUGCGUAGGCGGCCAAUUAAGUCAGUGGUUAAAGGCCUCGGCUCAACCGAGGUAAGCCUUUGAAACUGAUUGGCUUGAGCGCAGGAGAGGAGAGCGGAAUUCCUAGUGUAGCGGUGAAAUGCGUAGAUAUUAGGAAGAACACCAGUGGCGAAGGCGGCUCUCUGGACUGUAGCUGACGCUGAGGCACGAAAGCGUGGGGAGCAAACAGGAUUAGAUACCCUGGUAGUCCACGCCGUAAACGAUGAGUGCUAGGUGUCGGGGUCGACAGGCUUCGGUGCCGCAGUUAACACAUUAAGCACUCCGCCAGGGGAGUACGGUCGCAAGACUGAAACUCAAAGGAAUUGACGG
rnacentral:rRNA from 1 species